GAGGAUUUUUUUUUUUUUUUAAAAAGGACAAAACAAAUGUUUCCAGUGAUUUCCUUCAUUUCCUUCCCGUCAGCCUCUCCACUUGAAAUUCGGAAUCCUAGAAUCACCCUUUCUUCAACUUCCAACCAGCGCCACCAUCCUUCUGAACCGCUGACCGACGAUUUUAAAUGUGGCUAGAUCUACAAACGCCGAACGCACAGUGAAAUCGGUUCCUUCAUCUUCACCACCAUCCACAAACGCUGUAUUCUUGCUCGAGUCAGUCCACAACAGCCAGGUCUCUUCGCCUUCGUCCACGAACGCCAACUGAUUUCCAUCGUCGACAAUAAACUCAGUCCACAGCAACAAUAUUUUGUGUGAAACAUUGUGAAAAAAAGAAAGUUUUGAAAAUUGUGAAAAACAUAAGUCUCCAUCCCCAGCUAUAAAUUGUGAAAAAUGGUGAAAAAAGUUUUGAAGGACUAUUUGCAGCUUGUUUAGUAUGCAAUUGUUGUGAGUAUCAAACAAAUUCCCUAUUCUCUAUAAAUUGUGAAAAUUGUGAAAAAUGUUUUGAAGCUUGUUGAAUAUAUAAUUGUUGUGAGAAACUAAUGUAAUUCCCUUUUUCUCUGUAAAUUGUUGUGAAAAACUGGUAGAAUGGCAAUCUUACAUUUUUGUUUGAUUCCUAUCCAAGAUGAGACGAAAGAAUGUUAGUGUUUGUCAUGGUUGUAGGAGCACAGAGAACUUCUUCAAUGACUGUCCAAUAAAACGAGGAUCUCCAUGGUGUCUCCUAGGAUGGGAGAAAUGUUUUCAAGUUGAGAGGAAGACUGAUAACCAAAGGCGAUUAUUUAAAAUGUGCAGUAAAAAUUGUGGAUAUUUCCAUUGGGUCAAGACAGAAAUAUCGUGUGUUGAAUCGAGUACAAGGAAUGAAGCAAUGGAUCCUGCGGCCAUAGAUGAAGUUGAGGAAGAUUUUCCAGCCAUUUUCGAUAGUCUAGCUCGAAUUGUCGAAAAACGAAACAUCGAGAUUUCGUUGAAUAUCACAUUCCGCAAGGGAAAGAAAAGUGCAAAGUGAAUGGAAAGGGAAAGUACCAAUCUUGAUAAACCAUGAUGAAGGAAUUAUAGUUUGAUAGCAUUUUUUUCUUUAUCAAGGUCCCUGAAUUGUGUAUUUCGUUUUGAUGAACUGUAUGUGCAUUUCGUUUGGAUGAAUGAAGAUAAUUAAACAGAGAAGAACAAAUUUGUGGGAUUCAAAAUGCGUAGUUUUUCUAUUCGAAUUGAGCUAAAGUCUAC
rnacentral:lncRNA from 1 species